AUUGAACGCUGGCGGCAGGCCUAACACAUGCAAGUCGAGCGGAUGAAGGGAGCUUGCUCCUGGAUUCAGCGGCGGACGGGUGAGUAAUGCCUAGGAAUCUGCCUGGUAGUGGGGGAUAACGUCCGGAAACGGGCGCUAAUACCGCAUACGUCCUGAGGGAGAAAGUGGGGGAUCUUCAGACCUCACGCUAUCAGAUGAGCCUAGGUCGGAUUAGCUAGUUGGUGGGGUAAGGGCCUACCAAGGCGACGAUCCGUAACUGGUCUGAGAGGAUGAUCAGUCACACUGGAACUGAGACACGGUCCAGACUCCUACGGGAGGCAGCAGUGGGGAAUAUUGGACAAUGGGCGAAAGCCUGAUCCAGCCAUGCCGCGUGUGUGAAGAAGGUCUUCGGAUUGUAAAGCACUUUAAGUUGGGAGGAAGGGCAGUAAGUUAAUACCUUGCUGUUUUGACGUUACCAACAGAAUAAGCACCGGCUAACUUCGUG
rnacentral:rRNA from 1 species